UUUUUCUUGCACAGACCGCAAUUAUAGGCAUAAUUCGUUUUCUGCUGAAUGUAUAGCAAACUGGUGAUUGCGAUCUUUUUUCCCUGAAUUUCUGCAUGUAUAGAAUGUAGUUGCAGAUUAAAUAAUUACAUGGUUCUGCUCGAUUCAGGGUAAGAAAUGAAUAUGGUGUACUUCAAAGGAUUUCAUGUCUGCAGAUAAUGUAUUACAAGAGGUUGUGUGUGCCAGUGGACAAGCUGGUGAGAAGCUGAAUACUAAUAGCUUGAAUCCUGGUGAAUAGACUGCCUGCAUAAGCUUCGUCAUGAUUUUUCCACGUGUAAUAUGAAUGCAAGCCAGUUUGCCUUAAAGCAUCCCUUCUUGGAAAAUAUCUUCUAGUGUUUCAUCACAAAAAUCAGUCAAAAACUGUUUCUCAUGAUUUGAAAAAUACGUAUAAAGGAAGUCAAAUUUAAUUGAUAAAUUGUGCAUGCUGAGAUUGUAUACUAUAUCAUAUACAUUUUUUUAAUAUAUUUUCUGUAUCUCUAAUGUUGAGAAUUUUGAUGUUUUAAUUUAACCCUGAAUAAAAUGUUAAGUACUAUAAGCAAAGUAAGCAGUAUUGUAUUUGAUGUCAGAACAAUAUUUUUUUUAUUUUUUUAUUUUAUACUUGUAUAUUUUUGCUUAUGAUUGGAAUUUUAGUACAAAUUAUUUUGGCAUGAUGUGGCCUGUUCUCAUUUAAAAUGCAUUUUGUAUUUUUUUUUUUCUUCUGUUAUUUGCAUUAUAAUAGUUUGGCCAUAACAACUAUGGAUGCCAAAUCAACAUGUAUGGGAAUAACUGUAUUAAAUUUUGAGAAAACCUU